ACGAGACUAAAAAUACUGGAAGAAGAUUUAAGGAAAAUAGCAAAUGCUACUUCACAAGCAGUUUCCUAUUCCUAGCAGAUCUGACGCUAAAAACAUGGAUCAAUCUGGAAUUACAAUGAAUGAAUGAUCACAGAAACUUAACCUAGCGACAGAAAUCCUCGAAAAGCAGAGAUCUGUUAAAUGACGGUUCUUCCUUUGGUUGCUCUGGUCUGUUUCCUCUCUUACUCAAUACUUCUUUUUCUUCCCUUCUUCUUCUUCUUCUUCUUCUUCCUCCCUUUUUGAUCUUCUGCUCCUUCGUUCUCUCUGUUUUCUCCUCUUCUUCCUGUUUUUCUUCAAUCUCCAUCUGUCAUCGUCACCAUCGCCAGCGUUGAUCCCCCAUUUGCUCUGUUCUUCUGAUUUUCAGCAUCUCCAUCAUCAUCAUCAUCAUUCAACCUGCGUCAUCAUCACCACCCACUUGCGGCAUCUCCGGCCAGCAUCAUCAUCCUUCAGCCAUCUUCUGCCUUCACCAUCUCUUCCUCUCUUCUCUGUUUUCCGUCGUCUUGGGGGCGGCCGAAUGAAGGAACAAGAAGUUCAUAUCAAAAGAAGAAACAGGGCUGGGUCAGAUCCAAAAGGGCUUGAAUUUCAAAAAGGCAGAGCUCAAUCGGCUUAGGCUUGGGCUUUGGUUUUCCGAUCGGGAGAUAGACUUGAAUGAGUUUUUUGUAAAUUUUUAAAUAAUUAAUUAAAACUUAAUUAUAAAAAUUAAGUGUUAAAUAAAAGACCACAUUUUUUUUAAUUAAUUCAACCAAUUUUAAGAUGAAAACAAAGAUAUUUAUAUAUAGAAUUAAGAAAACAAAAUUUUUCUUUAAUUGUUUGCAACUGUUUCCAUUCUUCAGCCUCAAGUUACUUUCCCCUACUAUGAACUUGGUUAUUCGUGCAUU
rnacentral:lncRNA from 1 species